rnacentral:rRNA from 1 species
AUGAGGUUGGCCGAGGCGCCGCAACCUAGGAUGCAACCUGAGGCCGCUGAAGUUUCUCUGAUUCAACCUGAGGUCGCUGAACAUGCUCUGACUAAGAGCGAUGCGGAGAAGCUAUUCCAAGUCAAGAUCGAUUUUUAUUGGCACCUUGGGCAAGAGGUGUUGGCCCUAGAGGAGAAACAUCCUGGGUUGUUCAAGUCUCCGUUCCUGAAGCUUCCUGACGAGAAGGCCAGGACACUCGAUGCCAAACUUCAGAAGCAACACAUUGCAAAAUUAAAGGCUUUGUUGCGGCUGGCUGAUAUCAGAAAGGAGGUGACGAACUCCCUCAUCAAUUGUCUCGACUGA